ensembl:lncRNA
CCCGAGGAGAAAAAAUUUUUCUCAACAGACACAUUUGGCAUUUAUAGAUUUUGCAGCUGCUGUGAAUUUAUCUAACUGCAGAGGAUUUCUAAAAAACUCAUCUGAUUGAAGAGGACAUGUAGAAACUUCCUUUGGGCCAUAGGAAGGAUACAAAAUCAAAUUAGACCUUCAAAUCUGGAAGUGAAAGACAGAUUUCUUCUUUGACUCCAAUCAAUAUAUUUCAACCAACAUUUACACAAGAGAAUUUGAUCCGCAUAUUACUGUGGUGAGUUUCACAGACAGAGAAUCCUCGUUUUGUGUGAGGACAUGCCAUACUUUCAACAUUAAAAAUAAAAAUGUCUUAUAUUUCUCUCGUUUUAGCUUUAAGUCUAUAUACGCUACGUGCAUGUGUACAUGCUGUGUCACUUCAAUCGUGUCCAACUCAUUGCAACCCUAUCAACUGCAGCCUGCCAGGCUGCUCCAUAUAAUACCAUUAAGUAUAUAUGCUUAAUAAACUUCUGGGAUAAAAACAUAUUUAGGCAUUUUUAUAUGCAUUUUUAUAUUUAUGUAAUUCAUGAC